GAUCUCACACAUACAAGGCCA
rnacentral:misc_RNA from 1 species